AAUCUACGGAUUUAAUUUAGAUUUAUUUUACAGUCCAUCGAGGCUAGCAAGCGAGAAAUCAGUUAUCGUGCGAGUAUAUAUAUAUACGCUACAUUAGUGAGAAUCCAAGACUAGUAUUUCAUUAAGGGUGUUACUAUAUUACAAGUUUAGAAUUACCAAAAGGCAAGAGCUUUACUUUAGCCAUAUCCCACAUUACUACACAUCAAAUGCAACACAUUCUUUUGUUUAACACCAUCAGCCAACAAGGAAGCAAAGAAGAAGAAAAAAAGAAAAAAAAAAGAAAGAAGGGGGCAGGCGUGUGGCUGAAACAGCCCAGCUGCCAGCCGCCCAACUCCACCAGUUCCCUUCUCCCUACACCCUACCAUCUAUUCUUUAGCAUGCUCCAGCAGCCCCAACUCCUCCAAUCACCUCCACUCUACCCUAUACCUUGUCUCUAGCAUACUCAAGUAUGCAGCCAACAUCUCCCUCUAUUUGCUUCAACUCCAGCCAAGAAUACACCAUACUCUUCAUCCUCCACUUAGAAAUUCCGAAGAACAGGAGAAAUCUGCAUUCAUUGCC
rnacentral:lncRNA from 1 species